rnacentral:rRNA from 1 species
GAUGAACGCUGGCGGCGUGCCUAGUACAUGCAAGUCGAGCGAACGGACGAGAAGCUUGCUUCUCUGAUGUUAGCGGCGGACGGGUGAGUAACACGUGGAUAACCUACCUAUAAGACUGGGAUAACUUCGGGAAACCGGAGCUAAUACCGGAUAAUAUUUUGAACCGCAUGGUUCAAAAGUGAAAGACGGUCUUGCUGUCACUUAUAGAUGGAUCCGCGCUGCAUUAGCUAGUUGGUAAGGUAACGGCUUACCAAGGCAACGAUGCAUAGCCGACCUGAGAGGGUGAUCGGCCACACUGGAACUGAGACACGGUCCAGACUCCUACGGGAGGCAGCAGUAGGGAAUCUUCCGCAAUGGGCGAAAGCCUGACGGAGCAAUGCCGCGUGAGUGAUGAAGGUCUUCGGAUCGUAAAACUCUGUUAUUAGGGAAGAACAUAUGUGUAAGUAACUGUGCACAUCUUGACGGUACCUAAUCAGAAAGCCACGGCUAACUACGUG